rnacentral:rRNA from 1 species
UACGUAGGGUGCGAGCGUUGUCCGGAAUUACUGGGCGUAAAGAGCUCGUAGGCGGUUUGUCACGUCUGCUGUGAAAUCCCGAGGCUCAACCUCGGGCCUGCAGUGGGUACGGGCAGACUGGAGUGCGGUAGGGGAGAAUGGAAUUCCUGGUGUAGCGGUGGAAUGCGCAGAUAUCAGGAGGAACACCGAUGGCGAAGGCAGUUCUCUGGGCCGUAACUGACGCUGAGGAGCGAAAGCGUGGGGAGCGAACAGG